AUUGAACGCUGGCGGCAGGCCUAACACAUGCAAGUCGAGCGAGAGGGGGACGGGGGAGUAAUGUCUGGGAAACUGCCUGUUGGAGGGGGAUAACAACUGGAAACGCUAGCUCUAACCGCACACCAUAUGAGGUGCACACAUGGGAUGAGAUAGUAGGUGGGGUAACGGCUCACCUAGGCGACGAUCCCUCGCUGGUCUGAGAGGAUGACCAGCCACACUGGAACGGAGACACGGUCCAGACUCCUACGGGAGGCAGCAGUGGGGAAUAUUGCACAAUGGGCGCAAGCCUGAUGCAGCCAUGCCGCGUGUAUGAAGAAGGCCUUCGGGUUGUAAAGCACUUUCAGCGGGGAGGCGUUACCCGCAGAAGAAGCACCGGCUAACUCCGUGCCAGCAGCCGCGGUAAUAC
rnacentral:rRNA from 1 species